GCGAGCCAACGAUAAUUGGUGUCCACUUCUUUCUUAUUUGUCAACUUUUUGUUACUGAAGAGUACAGAGUCUUUUGGCUCAAUGGGUACGUAAAUAAGCAGAUUUGUCGAUUUUUGAGUGAAGAUCAGCAAGAAGGAUUGCAAGAGCUACCAAGCUAUCCAGAAAAAGUAACAGUUUGGUGCGGUUUAUGGGCUGGUGGCAUCAUUGUACCGUACUUCUUCAAAGAUGUUGCGAAUCGUAACGUAACUGUUUAUGAAAUUCAAAAUGGAAGAACUAUUUAUUUGGGCACUAUACGGGAGCUUCAACAAAAAGUGCGACUUUAAUUACAGUUUUGUUUAUGAAAUGUACGAGAAGAAUUUGGUUCUCUGUAUUUUGAAAAUACUACAAAAUCCAGGUCCUCGGCGGUUCUAUCUUACCCAAAAUUAGUU